GUCAAAAUCAAACCUGUAAUACUCCUGAAUUGCUCUUGCUGAGUAACAGCUACAUGUUUCUGUUGGUCUUGAGUUUCUUGAUGGUAGGCAGGAUCCUCUGCUACCUAGCUACUGCUGGCACAUUUCCUUCUUAACGACUGGCCUCAUUUCCUUGGCAUUGAACUAUCAACCACCGCAGGUGCGGAGUUCUCGUUAUCUGUAGCCCUGUAUUGGGUAAGAUGUGCCUCCCCUGCUUCAGCACCAGGUGGCCGGGCGGGCGCGAGCUGUAGCGGGUACGAGGGGGGUGUCCGCGUGACCUGAGCACAACGGGGCGGACAGAGGAGUUGGCGCAAGGGGGACGAGAACGCGCCAGAGCGGUUUGAAGCGAGUUGCUAGGAGACUGAUGUGCGCGGGGCCAAUGGGGAGGCCAUUGGCUAUGACGCUAGGGGUGUGCGAGCGCGCGGGAAGCCUCACACCCCGCCCCGCCUCCCUCGGGAGUUGGUGGGUCAGGGUGAAUUUCCGCGCCACUCCCCGAGGGCGAGGGAGGGGGCAGGGUCCCAGGGAAGGAGGCUAACCGCGCCCCCUCCCUUCCCGUGUCGGAGCGCUGGGUCUCUACGGCUUAAGGUGCAGCCCCCUGCUCUGGAUUAAGGGCGGGCGCCGCCGACCGGACGGAGAUGCGGGGCUCCUGGGGCGCGGGCGGGGCGCCUCCUGCUGGGGCAUGUGCCGGGCUACGCAGCAGGGAGCGGUGUUGCUCCAUCCACCGCCCAUGAGGAGGGCAGGUUGGGGGCGUGGCUACGUUGGAGCUCCGCGGCCACGGACUGGGGGAUGUAGUGCGCACUGAGCGCCCUGCCUUGAAGGCACAACGUGCCGCCGCUCCACACCCUCGUGUGUAAACCCGGCAGGACGGGAACGCGCCGCGGAGACCCCUGGUGAGAGGCGGAUGCCUGCGCCAAUGGGAGGCGGCCCUCUCUUUAUUCAUUAUCCCGCAGGUCCCAGCGGCCAAUGAGCGGCGCGCUGCGGGCAGGGGGCGGGGUUCGGUCAGUGCCGGCAGGAGCGGGCGCUGCCUCGGACUCCGGCAGACGCUGAAGAGGCGGCGUGGCAGCGAGUCGGGAGUUGGUGCGGUGCUGGGCGCUCGGGCGGGGACAUGGGGCCGCCAGUGGCGUGAGGUGCGGGCUUCGCUACCCGGGGGUCUGAGCUCGGCGCGGCGGCCGAAGGGAGCCCGGCUGUGCCUGUAUCGGCGGCGGCUCG
rnacentral:lncRNA from 1 species